rnacentral:rRNA from 1 species
GGCCUGGCUGGACGGUCCGCCCUUCGGGUGAGUACUGUCUGUGGUCGGGUCCUACCUUCUGGCGAAGCGUCAUGGCCUUGACCGGCCGUGGCGGGGAACCAGGACUUUUACUGUGAAAAAAUUAGAGUGUUCAAAGCAGGCCUUUGCUCGAAUACAUUAGCAUGGAAUAAUAGAAUAGGACAUCGGUACUAUUUUGUUGGUUUCUAGGACCGCUGUA